rnacentral:rRNA from 1 species
UACGUAGGGGGCAAGCGUUGUCCGGAAUUAUUGGGCGUAAAGCGCGCGCAGGCGGCUUUGUAAGUCUGUUGUCUAACCCUUGGGCUCAACCCAAGGCCGCAAUGGAAACUGCAAGGCUUGAGUGCAGAAGAGGAAAGUGGAAUUCCACGUGUAGCGGUGAAAUGCGUAGAUAUGUGGAGGAACACCAGUGGCGAAGGCGGCUUUCUGGGCUGCAACUGACGCUGAGGCGCGAAAGCGUGGGGAGCAAACA